rnacentral:rRNA from 1 species
CCUACGGGGGGCUGCAGUCGAGAAUAGUCUACAAUGGUCGAAAGACUGAUAGUGCGACGCCGCGUGAACGAAGAAGCCCUUCGGGGUGUAAAGUUCUUUUAUAUGUGAGCAAUGCCAGAUAGGUGAAUAGUCUGUUUGGAGCGAUAUUAGCAUAUGAAUAAGCAACGGCUAACUCCGUGCCAGCAGCCGCGGUAACACGGGGGUUGCAAGCGUUGUCCGGAAUUACUAGGCGUAAAGGGCAGGUAGGCGGAUCUAUAAGUUUAAUGUUAAAGGCGACGGCUUACCCGUCGUAAGGCGUUAGAUACUGUAGAUCUGGAAUACGGUUGGGGAAGACAGAAUUCCUGGUGUAGCGGUGGAAUGCGCAGAUAUCAGGAGGAAUACCGAAGGCGAAGGCAGUCUUCUAAGCCGUUAUUGACGCUAAACUGCGAAGGUGUGGGUAUCAAACAGGAUUAGAUACCCCGGUAGUC